CCUUCUCCCCAGUUAAUUCACUCUAACAAGGUGACCCCAAUGUUGGAUUACAGUGGCAUGAAGACUAUUGAAAUCAAAAAUGAACUGAGCAAGUAUGGCUUGAAACCAUCUUUGGGCAAAAAGAAAGGCAAAGUACUUCUUCGAUAUAUUUACAGUGAGCUGCAUCCAACAAUUGAAGCUUUAUCAGGUACAGAAAACAAAGAAAUGAAAGAAGGUGCUACUAAGGACCAGCCAACAACCAGCUCUGCAAAUCAUGUUGGUGAUUCAGACUCUGAAAGUGAAGAAAGCAAUGCAGAAAACCAGUUUGAAUGCAGCUUUUCCUCAGAAGCCAGCACGCUACCAGAAGAGGGCAUUGACACUAUCCCUGAGUCCUUAACGCAGACUGUGAAAUCUAAAUUUUUGAAAGAAGGUGAACUAGAAAAGCCUGUUUUGGAAUUCAUCAGAGCAGAUAAACAAUUACACACUAAAGUACUGAUGUAUGAACCUCUGUGGCUGGAAAAGUUCUUUGAUAAUUUGAAAGGCCAUGGCAUCAAAUGUAAACUAAGUGAUCUUAUGGAUGUUUGGAUAAAAAAUGUAUAA
rnacentral:lncRNA from 1 species